GGCCAGCAGAGAGAGAGGGGUGGUAAAGCCAGACGGACAGCAGAGAGAGAGGGGUGGUAAAGCCAGACGGACAGCAGAGAGAGAGGGGUGGUAAAGCCAAACGGCCAGCAGAAAGAGAGGUGGUAAAGCCAGACGGCCAGUAGAGAGAGAGGGGUGGUAAAGCCAGACGGCCAGCAGAGAGAGAGGGGUGGUAAAGCCAGACGGACAGCAGAGAGAGAGGGGUGGUAAAGCCAGACGGACAGCAGAGAGAGAGGGGUGGUAAAGCCAAACGGCCAGCAGAAAGAGAGGUGGUAAAGCCAGACGGCCAACAGAGAGAGAUGGGUGGUAAGGCCAGACGGACAGCAGAGAGAGAGGGGUGUUAAAGCCAGACGGACAGCAGAGAGAGAGAGGGGUGUUAAAGCCAGACGGCCAGUAGAGAGAGAGAGAGGGGUGGUAAAGCCAGACGGCCAGCAGAGAGAGAGGGGGGUGUUAAAGCCAGACGGCCAGUAGAGAGAGAGAGAGGGGUGGUAAAGCCAGACGGCCAGCAGAGAGAGAGAGGGGUGGUAAAGCCAGACGGACAGCAGAGAGAGAGACGGGUGGUAAAGCCAGACGGCCAGUAGAGAGAGAGGGGGGUGGUAAAGCCAGACGGACAGUAGAGAGAGAGGGGUGGUAAAGCCAGACGGACAGCAGAGAGAGA
ensembl:lncRNA